GUAAUGUAUAAAACAAAGCAGUUUAAGGAAAUGUGAGGAAUUAAAAAAUUGUAGGAAAUUUAUAAAAAAUUGUUAUGUAAAAAAGACUUCUUAAGAAUUAUAGCUUCUCAACCGUUUUGCUAGACUUUUUUUUAACACUUCUCUAAUCAAUCAAUAUCCCGAUUUUUCAAAAUUUUUCAAUAAACGCAAGCAAACUUAACUUAACAAUUUGCCAUAACAGGGAAAAAUAUUUUUUGCCUCGUAACCUAAGAGGCUGUAAAAAGGAAAAAAAGAAAAUAGGUUCGUUUAUAAGGAAAGGACUUACCGAUUGAAUUUGUUAUGGAAAAAGGACUGCCUAAGAAUCGGCAAGUUUAUAAUAACAGGUGGAGCUGCUUGAUGCCAAAGUAGGAAUAGUGUGGUUGUUGUUCUUGUUUUAGACUUCCAACCUAAGAGGUUUGGGAGAAAAAGGUCAAAACAAUAUAGGGCGCGCAAAAUCAGACGAAACUCUUAAGUUUAUAAGGAAAAGUCUCACCAAUAGAACUUGUUAUGGAAAAAGGGCUGUUCGAGAAUCGACCAAUUUACAACUCCAUUUACUACUGUAAAGUUUGUCAUAAAUAAUAACAAAAUAAUUUUGUAACAUGCCGAAUUUUGGUAUAAAAAUAAAUAAAAAUAAAUAAAAAAUAGUGUAAGAUACUAUUUUUAUUAGAUUUAGAGAAGUAAGACAUAAGUCAGAAGUGACUUGUGCUUAAAUCGGAAUGAAAAUAGAAGAUUUAGAAUUUUCUGUUAGAAACGGGACAGAUAAAUUAACAGAAAAUGCACAGUGUCAGAAAAUUAUGAAAAUUGGAGGAUAAGUCAGAAUUAUUUUUAUGAGGCUAGAUUUAAAGUUUCAUGCCAUUCUGACACCCGGAAGGUGAAAAAUAAAAUCCGACGACUAUCUGAUAAAGAUUACUGUUCGGUAGGGUUUUCAGUGACCAAACGGGGUCGAAACUGAAAUAUUAAAAUUUCUUUGUACUUAUUAUGUAAAACCGAGCCUGACUGUCAAAUUUGAGCGCAAACGGACAUUUAAAAGGGCUCCGGCAAAAAAAGUCAGUUUUAAACUGCCUGAAGUGAAGAGUGUUGGAGGGUGUAAAUAUAAAAGAAGCCUUUGCUUUUUCUUCCUCUCCAUCAGCCGACCACCACCUCCUCACACGCACGCAUGGAGGAGAGAGAAACCUUCAUUUCUCUCUCUAAAUAUCUCUCUCAUCUCUCUAGAUCUCUCUCUAAAAAUUUGAGGGUUGGUGGAGAGCGAGCUUGCGAACGCGUUGGGAGCGACGGAUCGAGCUUUCGUGCGCCCGUUGGAGCGGCGUGCUUCCGUCUCGGCAUUCACAUUUUGGUAAGUUUUUGGGAUUUGGCUUAAUCCUUAACCUUAAGUGUUCUAGUAGCCUCUAAUGAGCAUUGUUAGCAUGUUGCUCUAUUUAAUUUGGAUUAUUUAGAGGUUAAUUACAUGUUAGGGCUUCGAAUGGGAUUUUGUAAAAUAUAAGGGUUUGAUCUAAUUUGACCCUCUGUAAAUCUAAUUGAUAGUUAAACGAACGCGUUGGCGAAGUCGGUUCGGCGAUUCGUCGAGCCGUUGUAAAGAUAUUGAAGAAACGGACUAUUUAGCUUCGUUUCCACCUGGAGAGCCGAGGCGACAUCGUAAAAUCAUGAAAACGGAUUUGGAGCACCGUGGCACAUAACCAAAGACCUAUAAUUUUCGGAGCCGCAAUUCGAUGCACGGUUAGGGAGUAUUAGCAAAAUCGGGCCGAACCGAACACGAGUGCCGCGGGAGGCCGAUUGCAAGUGUCGACAAG
rnacentral:lncRNA from 1 species